UCAGUUCGGAUUGCACUCUGCAACUCGAGUGCAUGAAGGCGGAAUCGCUAGUAAUCGUGGAUCAGCAUGCCACGGUGAAUACGUUCCCGGGCCUUGUACACACCGCCCGUCACACCAUGGGAGUUGGUCUUACCCGACGGCGCUGCGCCAACCGCAAGGAGGCAGGCGACCACGGUAGGGUCAGCGACUGGGGUGAAGUCGUAACAAGGUAGCCGUAGGGGAACCUGCGGCUGGAUCACCUCCUUU
rnacentral:rRNA from 1 species